rnacentral:lncRNA from 1 species
AAGGGCUUAACGAAUUCGAGACGGAAAUCGAGCUUCUCUCCAGGUUAAGGCACAAGCACUUGGUGUCUCUGAUCGGAUACUGCGACGACGGAGGCGAAAUGUGUCUCAUUUACGAUUACAUGGCGUUAGGGACACUCCGUGAGCAUCUCUACAACACGAAGAAACCACAGUUAACUUGGAAACGAAGGCUAGAGAUCGCCAUCGGAGCUGCAAGAGGGCUACAUUACCUCCACACAGGAGCAAAAUACACGAUUAUACACAGAGACGUUAAAACGACAAAUAUCUUGGUAGAUGAGAAUUGGGUAGCGAA